AAUCCAUAGGUUAAUGAGGCGAACCGGGGGAACUGAAACAUCUAAGUACCCCGAGGAAAAGAAAUCAACCGAGAUUCCCCCAGUAGCGGCGAGCGAACGGGGAGGAGCCCAGAGCCUGAAUCAGCAUGUGUGUUAGUGGAAGCGUCUGGAAAGGCGCGCGAUACAGGGUGACAGCCCCGUACACAAAAGCGCAUGUGCUGUGAGCUCGAUGAGUAGGGCGGGACACGUGGUAUCCUGUCUGAAUAUGGGGGGACCAUCCUCCAAGGCUAAAUACUCCUGACUGACCGAUAGUGAACCAGUACCGUGAGGGAAAGGCGAAAAGAACCCCGGCGAGGGGAGUGAAAAAGAACCUGAAACCGUGUACGUACAAGCAGUGGGAGCACAGGUUUACCUGUGUGACUGCGUACCUUUUGUAUAAUGGGUCAGCGACUUAUAUUCUGUAGCAAGGUUAACCGAAUAGGGGAGCCGGAGGGAAACCGAGUCUUAACCGGGCGUUAAGUUGCAGGGUAUAGACCCGAAACCCGGUGAUCUAGCCAUGGGCAGGUUGAAGGUUGGGUAACACUAACUGGAGGACCGAACCGACUAAUGUUGAAAAAUUAGCGGAUGACCUGUGGCUGGGGGUGAAAGGCCAAUCAAACCGGGAGAUAGCUGGUUCUCCCCGAAAGCU
rnacentral:rRNA from 1 species